CGGAGGGGGCAAGCGUUGUUCGGAUUUACUGGGCGUAAAGGGUGUAUAGGCGGCUGCGCAAGUCUGGUGUGAAAUCUUCACCGCUUAACGGGAAGAGGGCACUGGAAACUGCGUAGCUCGAGUAUGGUAGAGGCAAGCGGAAUUCCUGGUGUAGCGGUGGAAUGUGUAGAUAUCAGGAAGAACACCGGUGGCGAAGGCGGCUUGCUGGGCCAUUACUGACGCUGAGACACGAAAGCGUGGGGAGCAAACGGGAUUAGAUACCCCGGUAGUCCACGCUGUAAACGGUGCGCACUAGUUGUGAGGGGUAUCGACCCCCUUGUGACGAAGUUAACACAUUAAGUGCGCCGCCUGGGGAGUACGGCCGCAAGGUUG
rnacentral:rRNA from 1 species